UACGAAGGGGGCUAGCGUUGCUCGGAAUCACUGGGCGUAAAGCGCACGUAGGCGGCUUACUAAGUCAGGGGUGAAAUCCUGGAGCUCAACUCCAGAACUGCCUUUGAUACUGGUGAGCUUGAGUCCGGAAGAGGUGAGUGGAACUGCGAGUGUAGAGGUGAAAUUCGUAGAUAUUCGCAAGAACACCAGUGGCGAAGGCGGACUCACUGGUCCGGUACUGGACGCUGAGGUGCGAAAGCGUGGGGAGCAAACAGGG
rnacentral:rRNA from 1 species